UUUUGUUAUAUAUCAUAUCAUUAUGGUACAGUAAUAUGGGUUUAAUUCUGUAAUUGUUUAUGUUAAAGUUCUUAUUAUCUACGUUUAAUUAACUCUACUGAUGAUCUGCUUACCCUUCCGGGGCACCUGAGAUCACCCCUAGUUGUUGGUGGGAUUCGUGUUGUUUAUUAUUUAGUUUUGUGUAUGUUGUGUCAUGUGUACUAUUGUUUGCCUGUUUGUCCAUUUCAUUUUUAGUCAUAGCGUUGUCAGUUUAAUUUCGAUUUAUGAGUUUGACUGUCCCUCUGGUAUCUUUCGUAACUCUUUUAAAGAGAGCGAUACUAAACUGGUUCAGCUCAGUCUCAUUUUUCUCGAGUCGGUCCCAAGCUUGUCGUUGUAAGUCACAUUUGACUUUCAUUUUAUUUAUUAAGAAUGUGGUGUUGAUGACAGAUUCUUCUUAUGACAGAUUUUCAAUUGAUUGUGUUAAUUUUUAUCACAGACUGGGAUUGAUUUCGAGCUUGACAAACUGUAAAGACACAUAUCUAUUGUUAAAAACUUGUGUUGAUGUAUACAGGUCUUGGUGACGUCUUUUUGUUGGGAUUCUGUCUCAUAUUUAUAUAUCCCACAUUUCUCUAUUUCUUA
rnacentral:lncRNA from 1 species